GCUUCUCAUUGCGCAUGCGCAACACUGUCAUCUACCCAGCUGACACCUUGCUAAGUUAGCCACUGAGCUAGCAGCACACCGCCGCUCCCUUUUCACCAGAUAGUCUAAUUUUUUACCCUUAAUUUCCCACUUCUACAUAUCCAAAACAGCCGGUAGGCAGUUUACGAACAUGGUUUAUGGCGUUAAAUCGGGUAUGGCGCUUGCCUUUAAACGGCUUGACGGCUAAUUAGCAUUUAGACUAGCCCGAGCUCGCUAGGGAACUUCCAGGUUUUGCGAGGCACCGCAGCUGCUUUUCCAGCCAUGGGAAUACUUUUCACUAAGUUAUGGAGACUGUUUAACCAUCAAGAGCACAAAGUCAUCAUUGUCGGCUUGGACAACGCGGGCAAGACCACCAUUCUUUACCAGUUCUCCAUGAAUGAGGUGGUGCACACGUCGCCCACCAUCGGCAGCAACGUGGAGGAGAUUGUCGUUAACAACACGCACUUCCUCAUGUGGGACAUCGGCGGCCAGGAGUCACUGAGGUCCUCGUGGAACACUUACUACACUAACACAGAGUUUGUGAUCGUGGUGGUUGACAGCACCGACCGGGAACGAAUUUCAGUGACCAAAGAGGAGCUGUAUCGGAUGCUGGCGCAUGAAGACCUGAGGAAGGCGGGGCUCCUGGUCUUCGCCAACAAGCAGGACGUGAAGGGCUGCAUGUCGGUGGCCGACAUCUCGCACAGCCUGCAGCUCACUGCCAUCAAAGACCACCAAUGGCAUAUCCAAGCCUGCUGUGCCCUCACCGGAGAGGGCUUGUGUCAGGGUCUCGAGUGGAUGAUGUCACGGUUGCGUGUCAGAUGAUGGCCCCUCAAACUUCAUGUAUUCACUCCAGGACUCGGAUCAUCAUCAUGAGGAGGACGAGGAGAAGGAGGCUUGACUUGAGUCUUUUUCCCCACCAAACUUUUUUGAGGACCUUCUUAUGUCUUGUGUGAUAAUUUAUUGGACUGAGGACUUUAUUUAAAGUGCACGCUUUUUUUCUGUCAACAAGAUGAAGGUCCUCUCGUGCAGCCCCCACUGCCUCGGAACAGUAUUACCGGACCACGGACCAUGCGUCCGGUCCAACAUUGUUUUAACAUGGUGCCUGUAGCAACAUGGACGCUCGGCGUGAUGAUGACGUGGAGGGGAUUGGUGUGGGACUGGUGGAGUGUGUCUACUGAGGGUUUUCCUGAACAACGAGGUCAUCAUAACGCACAUUUGAUGUAUUUUCACGUCUGCCAUGGAUGUGCGUACCACUAGGAGGAAUCGGACCAGAAUGGGUCUAGAGCCGCCAUCCCCGAAAAGACGGAAGCUGACAUCUUUUGAAAAAAGCCCACUGAACUGGUUUCACUAAGCAACAUGAAAUUUGUUAGACCUGUCUAUCUUGAGUAGACCCACAAAAAAGUUUCAAGCAGUUAUGCCUGAAAAUACAAAAAUUCUGAUGAACUCCAGUUUUUUUUUUUGUUUUUGUUUUAAAUCUGCCAUUUUCAGGACACUUUGGCCAUUUCUAGAGGUUACCUUACAAUACAUACCAAAAUCUUUUUUUUUUUUUUUACCAAUUGCUUCCAAAUUUUGAAUAUAUACACUAGAUAAAUUAGUGACACUACACCAUAAAACAUUGGAAUUUUCAUCUUUGCAUGUGAACCGAGCAGCGAAGUUCAAAGACUUAACGUUUACCUCAUCUCCACAAGGUCAGGGCCAGAGAGCCAAAUGCUGCCCCUACAGGCAGACCGUUGCAACAACACUCCUCCUGACUAGAAUGUUCCUUUUGGUCCAUGAGUCAGCUUAAAGGUCACUUUACAGGUGCCAGCACCCACAGGCUGCCCAAGUCUAUCACAAUUCGUUUUCCGCCCCAGGCGAGACGUCAGCCUCUCCUCCAGCAGGAUGAGAAUGUUGCUAUGGAAAUGUACCCGAUCGUAGCCCAAACAGCAGUGACCCAUCCCUCCUGUCAUCGCCCAUUUUAUCUGCUUCAUUCUAUGCGACUGACAUCACCUGCAAAAAAAUAAUAGUAAUAAUAAAUAACAUG